CCUACGGGAUGCACCAGUGGGGAAUAUUGCACAAUGGGCGCAAGCCUGACGCAGCCAUGCCGCGUGUAUGAAGAAGGCCUUCGGGUUGUAAAGUACUUUCAGCGGGGAGGAAGGUGUUGUGGUUAAUAACCGCAGCAAUUGACGUUACCCGCAGAAGAAGCACCGGCUAACUCCGUGCCAGCAGCCGCGGUAAUACGGAGGGUGCAAGCGUUAAUCGGAAUUACUGGGCGUAAAGCGCACGCAGGCGGCCUGUCAAGUCGGAUGUGAAAUCCCCGGGCUCAACCUGGGAACUGCAUUCGAAACUGGCAGGCUAGAGUCUUGUAGAGGGGGGUAGAACUCCAGGUGUAGCGGUGAAAUGCGUAGAGAUCUGGAGGAAUACCGGUGGUGAAGGCGGCCCCCUGGACAAAGACUGACGCUCAGGUGCGAAAGCGUGGGUAGCAAACAGGAUUAGAUACCCCCGUAGUC
rnacentral:rRNA from 1 species